CAUGCAAGUCGAACGGAAGUCGUUAUAAUGAUUUUGAUUUAGAUUUGAAGAUUCGUCUGAUAUGAAGAAGAUGAUGACUUAUAACAAUGGCUUUAGUGGCGGACUGGUGAGUAACGCGUAAGCAAUCUGCCUAUUAGAGGGGAAUAACAGUGAGAAAUCACUGCUAAUACCGCAUAUGCCAUAGUUAUCACAUGAUAGUAGUGGGAAAGGAGUAAUCCGCUAAUAGAUGAGCUUGCGUCUGAUUAGCUAGUUGGUGGGGUAACGGCCUACCAAGGCGACGAUCAGUAGCCGGACUGAGAGGUUGAACGGCCACAUUGGGACUGAGAUACGGCCCAGACUCCUACGGGAGGCAGCAGUCGGGAAUAUUGCGCAAUGGAGGAAACUCUGACGCAGUGACGCCGCGUAUAGGAUGAAGGUUUUCGGAUUGUAAACUAUUGUCGUUAGGGAAGAUAAAAGACAGUACCUAAGGAGGAAGCUCCGGCUAACUACGUGCCAGCCGCUGC
rnacentral:rRNA from 1 species